UUUCCUUUCAUUCCCAGGGAGAAAGUCUUCUGGGUAACAGGCCACCUCGUGCACUGUCCGGUAUCACAUUCAGUUGCCGCUGAAUAUGCCUUAAUUACACACUUGAUAGUUUUGUCUGUAAAGAGGUGAAAAACACAUAUGGCACGUGCUCAGAUAGCUUCUAAAUAUUGAGAUCGAAGUAGAAGACAGUCAUCUCUGUUUCUGCGGUCUGGUGACCAUCCUGGGGCUCCCAGGGUUGCCCGUGGGUCCCCAUCGGGGGGGAUUAUGACGCAGAUUAUGAUGCUGCGUCAUAAUCAUGUUGUUUCCUUACUUCACAAUACGCCCUGAGCACCUCCCCGCCCCCUUGCCCAGGGUGGGCCACAGAGCCACAGGGUCCACAGGGCCUGGCACACUCCAGAUGGGGAAACUGAGACCCAGAGAGGCAUAGCGGCUGCUCCAGAUCACUUACCCAGGGUGGCACCAGGAGCUUCCUAACCCCAAAUCUCGUGGUCUUGUGCUCAGUACUCUCCUCAUUUCUCCUGUUGCUCAGUACUCUACACUCAGUCCGCAGCCUGGGGACUGGAACACAGGCCAGAUGAGGGAGAAGGCAGGACAGCAAGUGGCUGCAACGCUCCGCCCUCCUGGGAGGGGUCACACUAUCAUCUUUGGCGACCCAUCCCUCCCGGGUGUUUAGCCCUGCAGAUGCAGCCCAGUUUCAGAGCCAGGACAAACAUCUUCUCAGCCAUGUGGCCAGAAGGCUGGGCCAAUCGAUCUCCAGCUUCUGGGUGGGAAAACCGAGGUCCGGAGAGGGGCAAUGGUGGCUGGAGGCCUGGGCUCACACAGCAGCUAUGAGCCUGAGCCCUGCUUCAGGUGCCCUUGACUCAAAAC